GAUGAUGACCUCUGAUAAUGCUUCUUGAUAGUCUCUGAGGGAUCUAUAUUAAUGCAAAUUGAGGUCAGAUAAAUUUUGCAAAGACAAAUCCAAUUAUAUGCUGGUUAUCAAGACCGUCCUUCCACAGUUUGACCAUGGGCUUGGUCUCAAAGGUCAAUACAAAAAUUUGCCAUCCUCUUCCUUGAAUUUCCACCCACUGGGGAAGGAUAAGAGAUAGUGAAACAGAUAUCCAUAGAAUAGGUACACAGCACUGAGGUUGAUCUUGCAGACAUGGGUGUGAGUGUUGGCUUUACCUUUAACCGGUCUGAGUCUGUCCUGGAGCAAAUCCGUCAACUGCUUAGAUUGUGUUUGUUUGAUGGUAAUUUGUGAGGAUUAAGUGAAAUAAUACCAGAACACUCCGUAAAGUAUUCCGCAAAUGUAUUAGCUAUGUAUUAAUUAGUACCUAACCCUGACAUGAGAAACCAACCCGGUUUACCUAACCAUAUGGAACAGGAGUUGCCGAAUUUGUCCCGGAAAGGGCCAGGGAAUAAAUGUUUUAGGCUUGCUGGCCACCGCAUGUCUGUCACAACUUUUCACCUCUGCCACUGUAGAGUGAAACGGCCACAAGCAAUAUGUCAACAAACAGGUGAGGCUGUCUCCUAACGAAACUUCACUUUGACCCCUGACGUUGAGGCCAAUGGCAACGGCUCUCGUGGUGGAGUCUUUCUACGUGCCUGCACUUCCUGUCAGUGUUCUUUCUUCCUCUUCACAGAACACUGUGAGGUCGCACUGGUGUGAUCCCCGCGGCCCCCCCCCCCCCAUGUUACAAGUGAGAAGAUGAGGCUCUGAUGAGGUGGAGAUCAGAUGAAAACCUGGAGCAUGCACGCAGGACUUUUCCUUCGGGGGCCAACUGUCAGGACUACAAUUCACCAGGCUAAUAAUAAUAAUAAUAAUAACAACAACAAUAACAGUGCAAUACAAUGUAGUUACUAUUAUAAUUAGUACUCUUGAAGCACUUAUAAUGCAUCAGACAUCGAGCUAAGUGGCUUGUCUGAGUAAUUCUCACAAGAAACCUUGAAAUAGAGACUGUAUCCCCUUUUUGUUGAUGAAGAAACAGAAAGUUGGAGAAGCUAAAUAACUUGUCCACGGCCACACAGCAGUAAGUGAUUUCAGUCAUGGAAUCUAUCAUGACGCCCUGGGUUCCCUGUCCUCCCCUCCCCCUUCCUUUGCAAUUUGCCCAGCCGACCUCUGCUGUAGAACUAAACCCAGCCUGGAGAACAUCAGCUGGGAGAGGGUGGCCUCUGCUGUCGGGGGUCCCUCCGCGAGGCAAUGGCCAAUGAAGUACAAAGAGGUGGAAGGAUGGAGAAGGAAACGUAUGUCUUUUUCUGAAGAAAUCACGGAAGGCGUCCAGGAGGAGGUGGUGUUUUGGUGGUUGCUAACGAGGAAUAGGAGCUCAGCAGGCGGAGCAGGAGAGGGCAGGCAUGCUGGUUUCUGGCAGAAGUGGCCCAAUGCUCACUGAUUUCCUCAUCACUCCAGGCCUGGCCCUGGGACUCCUGCUUCUCUUGCUCUCUUCUGCUCUACCGGGGGCCGGGGGGCCGGGGGGGGGUUCUUGUAGUCUCUGUUCAGCAUGUGCACUGUGGAUUGGUUCAUUCUGCUUUCUCAGUUCCACUUCGUUUGCCAUUUGCUAUAACCACAAACCGGUGGUCCGUGGGCAAAGCGCAUUCUCAAGACACAUUUAUUUGGCCUAUACGGUACUUUUUAUUUAUUAUUAUUUAAUGUUUAUUUAUUUUUGAGACAGAGCGUGAGCAGGGGAGGGGCAGAGAU